AACGGCCGCGGUAUCCUAACCGUGCGAAGGUAGCGUAAUCACUUGUUCUUUAAAUGAGGACUAGUAUGAAUGGCACCACGAGGGUUAAACUGUCUCCUUUUUUUAAUCAGUGAAACUAAUUUCCCCGUGAAGAAGCGGGGAUUCUUUUAUAAGACGAGAAGACCCUAUGGAGCUUUAAACAAGUUAACACCUGCUACUAAUCNNUUCACUUUCCUGAACCACCACAUUAAGUAUAGCACCUCUGAUUAACAGUUUUCGAUUGGGGUGAUCAUGGAGCAAAAAUCAACCUCCACGACGAAAAGGAACACCUCCUUGAGCCAAAAGCUACAACUUUAAGCACUAAAAAACUAACGCACUUUGACCCAAUUCUUUGAGCAACGAACCAAGUUACCCUAGGGAUAACAGCGCAAUCCACUUUAAGAGCUCCUAUCGACAAGUGGGUUUACGACCUCGAUGUUGGAUCAGGGUAUCCCAGUGGUGCAGCCGCUACUAAAGGUUCGUUUGUUCAACGAUUAAAACCCUACGUGAUCUGAGUUCAGACCGGAGUAAUCCAGGUCAGUUUCUAUCUAUAAAGGGCUUUUUCUAGUACGAAAGGACCGAAAAAGCAUGGCCUAUAACCCAUCAAGCCAUAUAAAUUACUAUUGUUCCCAACUUAAAUAGAAGUAAACCUACCACUUAUCUCGAUAAAAGAGAAGUUAACGUAGCAUAACCUGGCCUUGCAG
rnacentral:rRNA from 1 species